rnacentral:misc_RNA from 1 species
UUCGGUAUCCUGUGUUGCUUACCUAUCGAAAGGAAUCCGACGGUUUCGUUGGUCCCUCUCCGCCCCAUGCCCUCGCGGGUUGUGGGGUGGACGUCAGGCAAGCCUCGUGUUCCCGGCACGCUUCGCCCAGUUGCGUGGCUACCUCGGCCCACGAGUGCACCGCCCGUGCUCUCGGAUGCGGAACGUUAUGCGUGGGCGCGGGGCCUGUUGGCUCCGUCCGCCCGAGCAACGCAUUUGUCCAUCGACACGAACGACCGUCGCGCCCGUCUCGAGCCGCGGCCGUUAGGCCAGUCGGGUCUCGUGCGGGCGUCAACGUCGCGAAGGAAUGCUACCUGGUUGAUCCUGCCAGUAGUCAUAUGCUUGUCUC